GAUGAACGCUGGCGGCGUGCCUAAUACAUGCAAGUCGAGCGAACGGACGAGAAGCUUGCUUCUCUGAUGUUAGCGGCGGACGGGUGAGUAACACGUGGAUAACCUACCUAUAAGACUGGGAUAACUUCGGGAAACCGGAGCUAAUACCGGAUGAUAUUUUGAACCGCAUGAUUCAAAAGUGAAAGACGGUCUUGCUGUCACUUAUAGAUGGAUCCGCGCUGCAUUAGCUAGUUGGUAAGGUAACGGCUUACCAAGGCAACGAUGCAUAGCCGACCUGAGAGGGUGAUCGGCCACACUGGAACUGAGGCACGGUCCAGACUCCUACGGGAGGCAGCAGUAGGGAAUCUUCCGCAAUGGGCGAAAGCCUGACGGAGCAACGCCGCGUGAGUGAUGAAGGUCUUCGGAUCGUAAAACUCUGUUAUUAGGGAAGAACAUAUGUGUAAGUAACUGUGCACAUCUUGACGGUACCUAAUCAGAAAGCCACGGCUAACUACGUG
rnacentral:rRNA from 1 species